rnacentral:rRNA from 1 species
AAUGAACGCUGGCGGCAUGCCUAAUACAUGCAAGUCGAGCGACCAGAUAAUAAGCUUGCUCCUUUACCGUUAGCGGCUGACGGGUGAGUAACGCAUAGAUCACCUACCUAUAUUACUGGGAUAACUCCGUGAAACCGGUGCUACUGACGGAUAACAUUUCCAACCGCAUGAUUCUAGAGUUCAAGAUGGUUUUGCUAUCUCUUAUAGAUGAACCCGCGUCGUAUUAGCUAGUUGGUAAGGUAACGGCUUACCAAGGCGACGAUACGUAGCCGACCUGAGAGGGUGAUCGGCCACACUGGAACUGAGACACGGUCCAGACUCCUACGGGAGGCAGCAGUAGGGAAUAUUGGGCAAUGGGCGAAAGCCUGACGGAGCAAUGCCGCGUGAGUGAAGAAGGUCUUCGGAUUGUAAAACCCUGUUAUUAGGGAAGAAAAGAUGUGGAAGAAACCGUGGAUGUUCUGACGGUACCUAAAGAGAAAGCAACGGCUAACUACGUG